rnacentral:rRNA from 1 species
UACGGAGGGUGCAAGCGUUAUCCGGAUUUACUGGGUUUAAAGGGUGCGUAGGCGGGCAGGUAAGUCAGGGGUGAAAUCUUCGAGCUUAACUCGGAAACUGCCUUUGAUACUAUCUGUCUUGAAUAUUGUGGAGGUAAGCGGAAUAUGUCAUGUAGCGGUGAAAUGCUUAGAUAUGACAUAGAACACCAAUGGCGAAGGCAGCUUCCUAGGCAUAUAUUGAGGUUGAGGCCCGAAAGCGUGGGAUCAAACAGG